AUUGAACGCUGGCGGCAGGCCUAACACAUGCAAGUCGAGCGGAGCGGCGGACGGGUGAGUAAUGCCUAGGAAUCUGCCUGUGCGUGGGGGAUAACGUCCGGAACCGGGCGCUAAUACCGCAUACUAUCACAUGAGCCUAGGUCGGAUUAGCUUGUUGGUGGGGUAAAGGCAUACCAAGGCGACGACCCCUAACUGGUCCUAGAGGAUGACCAGCCACACUGGAACUGAGAAACGGUCCAGACUCCUACGGGAGGCAGCAGUGGGGAAUAUUGCACAAUGGGCGCAAGCCUGAUGCAGCCAUGCCGCGUGUGUGAAGAAGGCCUUCGGGUUGUAAAGCACUUUCAGCGGGGAGGCGUUACCCGCAGAAGAAGCACCGGCUAACUCCGUGCCAGCAGCCGCGGUAAUUC
rnacentral:rRNA from 1 species